UACGGAGGGUGCAAGCAUUAAUCGGAGUUAUUGGGCGUAAAGGGCGCGUAGGCGGAUUCGUAAGUCAGAUGUGAAAUUCCGGAGCUCAACUUCGGAGCUGCAUUUGAAACUGUGAAUCUAGAGGGAUGGCGGAGAAAAUGGAAUUCCACGUGUAGCGGUGAAAUGCGUAGAUAUGUGGAAGAACACCAGUGGCGAAAGCGGUUUUCUAGCUAUUACCUGACGCUGAGGCGCGAGAGCAAGGGGAGCAAACAGG
rnacentral:rRNA from 1 species